rnacentral:rRNA from 1 species
CAAGUCGAGCGAACAGACGAGGAGCUUGCUCCUCUGACGUUAGCGGCGGACGGGUGAGUAACACGUGGAUAACCUACCUAUAAGACUGGGAUAACUUCGGGAAACCGGAGCUAAUACCGGAUAAUAUAUUGAACCGCAUGGUUCAAUAGUGAAAGACGGUUUUGCUGUCACCUAUAGAUGGAUCCGCGCCGCAUUAGCUAGUUGGUAAGGUAACGGCUUACCAAGGCAACGAUGCGUAGCCGACCUGAGAGGGUGAUCGGCCACACUGGAACUGAGACACGGUCCAGACUCCUACGGGAGGCAGCAGUAGGGAAUCUUCCGCAAUGGGCGAAAGCCUGACGGAGCAACGCCGCGUGAGUGAUGAAGGUCUUCGGAUCGUAAAACUCUGUUAUUAGGGAAGAACAAAUGUGUAAGUAACUAUGCACGUCUUGACGGUACCUAAUCAGAAAGCCACGGCUAACUACGUGCCAGCAGCCGCGGUAAUACGUAGGUGGCAAGCGUUAUCCGGAAUUAUUGGGCGUAAAGCGCGCGUAGGCGGUUUUUUAAGUCUGAUGUGAAAGCCCACGGCUCAACCGUGGAGGGUCAUUGGAAACUGGAAAACUUGAGUGCAGAAGAGGAAAGUGGAAUUCCAUGUGUAGCGGUGAAAUGCGCAGAGAUAUGGAGGAACACCAGUGGCGAAGGCGACUUUCUGGUCUGUAAC